rnacentral:rRNA from 1 species
UACGAAGGGGGCUAGCGUUGUUCGGAAUUACUGGGCGUAAAGCGCGCGCAGGCGGCUAUCCAAGUCCGUGGUGAAAGCCCGGAGCUCAACUCCGGAACUGCCAUUGAAACUGUUUAGCUUGAGUAUGAGAGAGGUGAGUGGAAUUCCCAGUGUAGAGGUGAAAUUCGUAGAUAUUGGGAAGAACACCGGUGGCGAAGGCGGCUCACUGGCUCAUUACUGACGCUCAGGCGCGACAGCGUGGGGAUCAAACAGG